AAUAUAGUUAUAGCGCCUGUGCAAAGUGACAUAUACAAUUGAAGAUUAAUAAUUAAUCAGAGUAGAGAUUAUUAUAGAUUGUUGUGUAUAUUUUGUAGACGAGGAGGAUAGUGAUCGAAUAGAUCGGCGGAUGCUAUCCCGGAUGUGGCUCAUUCGUUAGCUUAUUAAUUAAAACAUUAAGGUGACUUAAUGGACAAAGUUAGUAAGAUCGCCAUUA
rnacentral:ncRNA from 2 species